GAGAGUGAGGGGGCGGAUGUAGCCAA
rnacentral:tRNA from 1 species